rnacentral:lncRNA from 1 species
CUGGGAACGUUCUCCGCCUGCAAUAGCCUCGAUGUUGCAGGCUAGGGUUUUUGGGGUGGUUGUUGUGGAGCCAAACCAGCGCCGUGUGGAAGAAUUCCCUUUCCCUUGUUCCAUAGCGGUUUGCUAGGUUGCAAAUGAGCUUGAGGGUAGUAAGGGAAUCGUGGGACCAGGCCAGCGGGAGCAAUGACUUCAGACAUUUGUAAGGAUCACAGGAGCCAAAGGGAUCCGUCAAGGAAUCGGAAUACAUAUCUUCAUGGUCGUCAAAAGGUUCAUUAAAGGACUCCAAAUACAGAUCAACGCAGGGGUUGUCACCAAAGGAUGAGGAUGAGGUGG